GACGGAGCACGCCGCGUGAGCGAUGAAGGCCUUCGGGUCGUAAAGCUCUGUUGUUAGGGAAGAACAAGUACCGGAGUAACUGCCGGUACCUUGACGGUACCUAACCAGAAAGCCACGGCUAACUACGUGCCAGCAGCCGCGGUAAUACGUAGGUGGCAAGCGUUGUCCGGAAUUAUUGGGCGUAAAGCGCGCGCAGGCGGUCCUUUAAGUCUGAUGUGAAAGCCCACGGCUCAACCGUGGAGGGUCAUUGGAAACUGGGGGACUUGAGUACAGAAGAGGAAAGCGGAAUUCCACGUGUAGCGGUGAAAUGCGUAGAGAUGUGGAGGAACACCAGUGGCGAAGGCGGCUUUCUGGUCUGUAACUGACGCUGAGGCGCGAAAGCGUGGGGAGCAAACAGGAUUAGAUACCCUGGUAGUCCACGCCGUAAACGAUGAGUGCUAAGUGUUAGAGGGUUUCCGCCCUUUAGUGCUGCAGCUAACGCAUUAAGCACUCCGCCUGGGGAGUACGGCCGCAAGGCUGAAACUCAAAGGAAUUGACGGAAA
rnacentral:rRNA from 1 species